ACGAACCGAUAUUUGCUGUUCUCAAUCAGCUCGCUAAUCUUAACGGGCUAAAAGGCCAAUUGAUUAACUUAGCUUCAAUCCUACGACGAACGUACCCCAGUUAUUAAACAGAGAACACAAAAAAUAUCGCUUAACCAAAACAAAGAGUACACAGACUCAAAGCACUGGAAAUAACUACAACUAAGAAUUCUAAACAGGGUUAUCUGAAACAGACUAGGCGCAGGGGCGCAGAAACAAAAACCGAGAGUCUCACUCUGGCAAACUAAGGGCAGGAGCGAUGAACAGAAAACUACGAGUAAUGACUCGAGUAGAAGGUAUGCACGGUACAAUACCGGAAGUGAACUGGGGUACGUUCGUCGUAGGAUUGAAGCUAAGUUAAUCAAUUGGCCUUUUAGCCCGUUAAGAUUAGCGAGCUGAUUGAGAACAGCAAAUAUCGGUUCGUUAACGGCUGAUCCGCAUCCAAAUCAUGUGGUUAAUUUCAACCAGGCUAAACUUACCGGGGCAUUUUCGCGUGCACGUCCUACUUCAAAAGGCAGGAAAGGUCGAUCACCAAAACAAUGAUUUUCUAGCGGUAUAAUGGUUCUAAACUCAAAGAAAAUUGCUCUUUUUUUCUCCGCUGGCCAGCAGGAGAUGAACAUGAACGCUUAUGAAGAAUACAAGACCAUAAUCAUGGCAAAAUUCAACACCGCCACCGUUGUGAGAGCAAGAUCAGAAAGAAACUGCAGGACGGGGGGCUGCCGGCAGACGCCAAACUGACCUGGAAAAAGCAGCCUGAUGGACGAAUUUUCCACAAGAAGAAUGAGAAGAAGGAGAAAAAAGAGAGGAGGAGGAGGAGGAAGAGGAAGAGCAAAGAUGAGUUUUGAAGCUCAAUAAAUCUCAGAGAGCAGGAGAGGGAGAAAGAUGAGAGAGGAGAGGAGAAACUGUAUGUAUUGAAAUGCGACUUAAAUCUUGUGUGGCCAUAAUCAGAUUUAUUUUGGUUUGCAUGGAUCAGCAUAUGUUUUACUGUUGACAGAGUUUUUAGGUGACAAUAAGGAUGGGUAGAAUCAGAUUUGCUGUGCGGGGAAUGGGCAAAGCAGCAAGGAGAAAUGAAGAAAGAAAAACUGCUGAUGGUUGUAGACCUAAUAUCUGCCUGGUGUGAUUUCUAUAUUCAUCACUUGUGCUCAUUAUAUUGUAUGCACAAAGAAUGCUUUGGUUUUGCUGUGAGGAUGCCAACAUCUUAAAGGAGCAAUGUGCAGUGGAAAAAAGUGGCGUGUGCCAGAAGAUGAAGUGUAAACAUGAUUAUCACUUUUGAACUGCCCAUAAAAUUAAAAACAAAAUAUGUGAAAAUACAGAAAGCUUUUUUUAAACGUGUUUUUAGAUUUAAUGCCUGCUAAAUGCAAUGAAUUAACCACUGUACACCCAUGUGCUUUUAUUGUAUAUGUGAAUAAAACUGAUC
ensembl:lncRNA